rnacentral:rRNA from 1 species
AGAGUUUGAUCCUGGCUCAGAUUGAACGCUGGCGGCAUGCCUUACACAUGCAAGUCGAACGGUAACGCGGGGCAACCUGGCGACGAGUGGCGAACGGGUGAGUAAUACAUCGGAACGUGCCCAGUAGUGGGGGAUAGCCCGGCGAAAGCCGGAUUAAUACCGCAUACGACCUACGGGUGAAAGCAGGGGAUCGCAAGACCUUGCGCUAUUGGAGCGGCCGAUGUCAGAUUAGGUUGUUGGUGGGUAAAAGCCUACCAAGCCGACGAUCUGUAGCUGGUCUGAGAGGACGACCAGCCACACUGGGACUGAGACACGGCCCAGACUCCUACGGGAGGCAGCAGUGGGGAAUUUUGGACAAUGGGCGCAAGCCUGAUCCAGCCAUGCCGCGUGCGGGAAGAAGGCCUUCGGGUUGUAAACCGCUUUUGUCAGGGAAGAAACGCUCCGGGCUAAUACCUUGGGGUAAUGACGGUACCUGAAGAAUAAGCACCGGCUAACUACGUG